GAUGAACGCUGGCGGCGUGCCUAAUACAUGCAAGUCGAGCGAACGGACGAGAAGCUUGCUUCUCUGAUGUUAGCAGCGGACGGGUGAGUAACACGUGGAUAACCUACCUAUAAGACUGGGAUAACUUCGGGAAACCGGAGCUAAUACCGGAUGAUAUUUUGAACCGCAUGGUUCAAAAGUGAAAGACGGUCUUGCUGUCACUUAUAGAUGGAUCCGCGCUGCAUUAGCUAGUUGGUAAGGUAACGGCUUACCAAGGCAACGAUGCAUAGCCGACCUGAGAGGGUGAUCGGCCACACUGGAACUGAGACACGGUCCAGACUCCUACGGGAGGCAGCAGUAGGGAAUCUUCCGCAAUGGGCGAAAGCCUGACGGAGCAACGCCGCGUGAGUGAUGAAGGUCUUCGGAUCGUAAAACUCUGUUAUUAGGGAAGAACAUAUGUGUAAGUAACUGUGCACAUCUUGACGGCACCUAAUCAGAAAGCCACGGCUAACUACGUG
rnacentral:rRNA from 1 species